rnacentral:rRNA from 1 species
GAUGAACGCUGGCGGCGUGCCUAAUACAUGCAAGUCGAGCGAACAGACGAGGAGCUUGCUCCUCUGACGUUAGCGGCGGACGGGUGAGUAAAACGUGGAUAACCUACCUAUAAGACUGGGAUAACUUCGGGAAACCGGAGCUAAUACCGGAUAAUAUAUUGAACCGCAUGGUUCAAUAGUGAAAGACGGUUUUGCUGUCACUUAUAGAUGGAUCCGCGCCGCAUUAGCUAGUUGGUAAGGUAACGGCUUACCAAGGCAACGAUGCGUAGCCGACCUGAGAGGGUGAUCGGCCACACUGGAACUGAGACACGGUCCAGACUCCUACGGGAGGCAGCAGUAGGGAAUCUUCCGCAAUGGGCGAAAGCUUGACGGAGCAACGCCGCGUGAGUGAUGAGGGUCUUCGGAUCGUAAAACUCUGUUAUUAGGGAAGAACAAAUGUGUAAGUAACUAUGCACGUCUUGACGGUACCUAAUCAGAAAGCCACGGCUAACUACGUG